UUCUGCCAGCCUUUGCCUGCUUCGUUCUCUCGUGGAGUUGCAGCAGGGAGAGGCUGUCCCUUGACUUCCACAUGCACUUCGCUCUCGAGCACGCUAACUGCCAAUGAAGUAAUGAGCGUGAGCAGGAGCAGCGCCUCCUGACCGCCAUUCUGCACCCCAAAACUUUCCGUUUUCCUGCCCGCCACUCUCUCGGACUUCCUUUUGAUCCCCUCCGCCACCAGAGUGGAUGUGGUGGUGGAGGUAGAGAAGGAGAAGGAGAAGAAGGAGGAGGAGGAGGAGGGGGGGGGAGAGAAGAGCGUGCGAGGGCUGCUCGAGAUUUACAAUCUGCCUUCACGCUCUUGGGACCUCAGGUUUGAAAAGAAGAGUUCCACCAUGGGCUGCAAGUGAAAGGAACUUGGGUUACUCGGUGCUUUGGCAGAAGUUGAGACUUUCUUCGGGGGCUUCCCGGAGGGCGAGCUGUGCCUUUCUACGCGCGGAGGGAGAUUUCUCCACUGUUGAAUGUAAAGAUCUCCAUGGUAACUCAAACCCCCAGCCUCUUCGUAGCAGCCUGCAAGAAGCAGUUUUCAACAGCUCAAAGGUCUUACGGCCAGAGCGUGGAUCACACUUCUUGCAAGCCUCAUUGUUUUGAGGUGGGGCUAAGAUGAGCAUAACCAGCGAUGAAGUGAAUUUCUUGGUAUAUCGUUACCUCCAGGAA